UUUUGUGCUGUGAUGAGACAAUUUUGUGGACUAGAGUUUCUGAUCCGAGUACAUUUACUCAGAAGUUGAUUAUGAAACCCUUGGCUGUCUGAGCACACCU
rnacentral:snoRNA from 1 species